GCUUUGGCGCUUUAGCUGUAUGAUAGAUUUAUACUACUUCAUAAAGCUAGAUUACCAAAGCAU
rnacentral:pre_miRNA from 1 species